GACGAAGGAUGCAAGCGUUAUCCGGAUUCAUUGGGUUUAAAGGGAGCGUAGGCGGAUUGGUAAGUCAGUGGUGAAAUCUGUGGGCUUAACCCACAAACUGCCAUUGAUACUGCUGAUCUAGAGUACAGUUGCCGUUGGCGGAAUAUGACAUGUAGUGGUGAAAUACUUAGAUAUGUCAUAGAACACCGAUUGCGAAGGCAGCUAACGAAACUGUAAACUGACGCUGAGGCUCGAAAAGUGCGGGGAGUCAAAACAGG
rnacentral:rRNA from 1 species